CUGGUUCGUUGCUGUUCUUGACGUUUUCACGCAGGCGAAAUUGAACGAACUGACAGAUCCGAUAUAAAUGCAGAAUAACGAUGUCACAUCUGUAUAAUACAGUAGCGGAGGGAGACGUCCCAAGUCAAGUGCACUGCCGCUGUCUUAUCUCUCUGCAUCCCGUUCCAGUUGAACUUGCAGACUAACCGCCGAUUCAUCGUCCAUUCAUUGUUCGAUUUGUGGAGAUAAGUCGCCGAUUCAUUGUUCCAGACGAGAGUCACCGCUGUACUAAGGCGGCGCAAGCAGGCCGUCAAUAAAAUCUCGUCAAUAGCAGCGAACGAUCGUGGCUCGUCGACAUUCGGAAGCUAGUGUGCGAACGGCAUAGUUGCCUCCUCCUGCUCGGGGGCAGAGCGUAAAGCUGUACGAAGCCGAACAGCAAGCU